rnacentral:tRNA from 1 species
GAAGGUAUAGCUCAGUGGUAGAGUGUGUGCUUAGCAUGCACAAGGUCCUGGGUUCAAUCCCCAGUACCUCCA